CCCUCUCUUUACCAGUUUCAGCUUAUUUUCUAGCAUUCUUCAAAAGUGACCAAUGAGAGCUGUGUGUGUGUUUAAACUGUUUAUUUUGAUCUCAUGGAUUUAAAAAAUAUUUGGACCUCGAGCUGGUAAGUCAGAUGGAUGUAGGUUUGCAUCCCAACUCUGCCCUGUUACACCAGGAAGAAUUUUCCCUCCUUUCUUCCCAUGAUUAAAUCCUGGUGACCUUUAGCUCUCCUCCACAAUAAGACUUUCUCUUAACUCUCCUGACCAGGUUAAAACCUCUCAAAUGCACAAUUUCACAUUCAUUUGUGUGGAUGUUGGCUUAAUGCCUGAUUUCUUUGCUAGACUGUAAGUUCCCUAUGGGCACGGACCAUGUUUUGUGUUAACUAACCAUCAGAUCCCCAUUAUGAGGGUGUCUGUAAAUAUUUGUUCAUUGAAUGUUGAAAAACUUGGCUAAAUUAAUCUCUCUGAGCUUUAGUUUUCUCAUCUUUCAAAUAGGGGUGAUAAUACCGAUGUCACAAUACUGAUGUUAUGUGAAGAUUAAGUGAGACAAUGGGUGCAAGAUACCUGGUCUAUCAUAAGUAUUCUCAAGUGGUAGCCGCUUUACUACUGUUUCGUAUCUGAUGACCUUGGACACUACGCUCCUGUCAUGAAUUACUUGGCUGACACCUCUGAUUGUAUUGCUUGGGAAUCAAUUAUGAAAAAGACAUCCCGUACGUGUCCCUGUCACCGCAUUUACAUUUACCGCAGUGUUUAUAUCUGCUGACUUCACUGAACUGUGAGCACCCGGAAGAAGUGAGUCACUAGGUCCAGCCCCCUAUCAGUGGGAGGGGAUGAUACAGAAUGUGAAUGUCAGGAGGCAGGAGCCAUUUGAGAAGCUGCCUACCAUCACAGCAUGAGAAGAUGCUUUCAGGAAAAAAGCGACUAUUUGACCCAGCAGAGAGCAUUUUCCCGAUGUAGGGGUGAUGUGCAGCAAUUAGCUUGUUUUGGUCUGGGAUGACUGACAGCGAUUCCAUGGAUUGUUUUGUGAUAUUAGACAAAGGUUCUCGGGGCAAAAUGUGAUUAGAAUAUGUUCAACUUGAUGACAUGUAUGUUAAGCCUGUUGGCACGUAGCAGCCAAUUUCAUUGUAUGACCUACUGGCUAGAGACAUCGAGAGUAAGAGUCAAAUCAUUUGGAGAAGAGUUGUUUAGUGAGUUAGAAUGAAUGGAGUCUUUAGUGAGUGUCCGCAUCAAAUUCUGUCCCAGUUUGUUGCUUGUCAUGCCCUAUUCUCCAUCUGGGAUGCCCAAGGCACUCUUUUUCAGGACAUUUGACCUACAAGUCAUAUUUCAGAAACUACUGAUUUGGUGCUUGCUGAUGGAGUUUAGACUCUGAGGAGUCUGCCUGCUGGAUUACGUACAGACUAAUGACCCAUCAGAUGCUAAAGGCAAAAGCUUAAAGUGCACUUGUGAAUUAAACCACAGUAUUGUCAGAAAGGAAGAAUUUAUUAUGUCAUUAAAUUUAAUUCAAUAAGUUUUGCUUCUUUAGAUGCACUGCACUGAGGGAAAAGUAAGAAAUUAAUUUUAAACAAGUGUUAUUUUUCUUCUGCUUAUCCAGGUAAAGGAUAUUCAUGUGAAAGAGACAGAAUAUUUUACCGAGAUUUUUAAAAAAGCCAUUACAACAAAUGAUAAAUUGUGAAAACUGGGCAUGGCUGCCUAGCCAGGCAUGAACUUCUAAGAUCAGAGACUAUGUGCUUCAGUUAGUAAACACAGAGGAAAAUCAACCUUGCCUAAUUUAAUGACACCCUGGGUGAAGUUUUCAGGCUUUGCAUAAAAAUCACAGAGGCUCAUUGAUACAAAGAUGUCAGCAGUAAUUGUGGUUGAUGCUUAGAGUUUAAUCUGAAAGUUAGGAUGGGCAGAAAAUGAAAAUCAAGAUGGAGAAUUUUUGCUUCAAAUCUAGAAAUUAUUAUGAUAUGAAGAAAAUUCUAAUAGGUUAAAUAUUAGAAUAAAACUUAGAAGUGUAAAAUAUGUGGCAUUGAAUCUUUCUACAUACAUCUCAUGAUUGCUUUAGAGCAACAGAGAAAAUGUUGAUAAAUAGUAACUUAAAGGUAAGUGAGGAAGUUGCUGAGUGCACCUUUUGUCAUUUACCAAUCAAAACAAUACGAUGAUCUUACAGGGGGUCUAGAAUGAAGUCCAGUGAUAAAUACAAAAAUUAGACUUUCCAUUGUAUUGAUAGUGCUCAUUCUAAUAAGUGAGAGACUUUUAGUAUUUGUAUUCUAGGUAAUAAAUUUUCUAUUAGUAACUAUUAUGUUAGUGGAAUAAAAGCAAGAGUGCAAAUCCUCAAAGAACAGAUUCUGGUCAUUGUUUUAAUUCAAUAAAUUCCAUAGCAAAUGGUUUAUGUCAAGUAAGAGAAAAAAAAAAACAGUUGACCAUUGAACAACACAGGGGGGUAGGGGUACCCAUGCCCUGG